CGUUAAUCGUUCUUUGGAAAAAGAAAAUGAGAUUCUAAACAUCUAACUCCGUUACUUGCAUCAUGAGAAAGGGAGAAGAACAAAAUGUUAGCUACAAUGAAAAAGGAUUACUUUCGAAAAUUCACUAUUCCACAUCCGUUUUCCCAAAUCCAUCCUUUGCUACUGAUAUACUUCAUUAUUAUUGCACUGAUGUAUUUGUAUAUAAUAACUCUUAGGAAACCCAAAUUCAUCCUACCUUCUAGUUCGGUAAAUCG